rnacentral:rRNA from 1 species
AGCGAACGCUGGCGGCAGGCUUAACACAUGCAAGUCGAGCGGGCACUUCGGGGUCAUCGGCCGACGGGUGAGUAACACGUGGGAACGUAACCUUUGGUUUGGCAUAACGCUGGGAAACUAGCGCUAAUACCGGAUACGCCCUUUUGGGGGAAGGCUUGCUGCCGAAGUAGCGGCGCGCGUCUGAUUCGCUUGUGGGUUGGGUAAUGGCCUAACAAGGCGACGAUCAGUAGCUGGGCUGAGAGGAUGGUCAGCCACACUGGGACUGAGACACGGCCCAGACUCCUACGGGAAGCAGCAGUGGGGAAUAUUGGACAAUGGGCGCAAGCCUGAUGCAGCCAUGCCGCGUGAGUGAUGAAGGCCUUAGGGUUGUAAAGCUCUAUUGUCCGGGACGAUAAUGACGGUACCGGAAGAAUAAGCCCCGGCUAACUUCGUG